UACGUAGGGUGCAAGCGUUGUCCGGAAUUAUUGGGCGUAAAGAGCUCGUAGGCGGUUUGUUGCGUCGGCUGUGAAAUCCCGAGGCUCAACCUCGGGUCUGCAGUCGAUACGAGCAAACUAGAGUGUUGCAGGGGAGACUGGAAUUCCUGGUGUAGCGGUGAAAUGCGCAGAUAUCAGGAGGAACACUCGUGGCGAAGGCGGCCAGCUAGACCAGUUCUGACACUGAGGCGCGACAGCGUGGGGAGCAAACAGG
rnacentral:rRNA from 1 species